AACGCAAAUGGCGCUUUCUGUCCAGGGAAGCAUGCCUGCUUGAGAACCGUAAAGAAGACCCAUCACCGGGAUUCCUUUUCCGGUGGAGAAUGGACUACCGGCAGAGGGCAGGCCAGAGGUUGCCUUUCUUUGGUGCCGACGGAAGAUGCUGCUCCUCCGCUCGUGGUCCGCAAGGCUUUCUUCUGUGGGGUGGGGUUGGAAGGAUCCGGAUUCCCAAAGGCAAGGAUAAUGUGGGGGGGUCUCGAGAGCCACACGCUCUCUCUCUCUCUCCCCUUUACGACAGCCGACGGGGCUGGAAGACCUUCCCUCUCCUUUGCUCGCUCAAAAGUGGGGUGUAAGAAGAACAAGGAACCCCCAAAGUCGUGGUCUCAAGUCAGGCAAGAGAACCCGCUGAACUUAA
rnacentral:misc_RNA from 1 species